CGCGUCACUUCCGGCGGGCCAAGCUGGUCCUGAAGGCAGGUGCUAGGGUCUCUUCCCGGGCGGGUAAAUGAAUAUGAGUAAAUAUUUGUGGAGCGUCUAGCGUUUGAAAGGUGCAGCGCUGCCCAACGAGGACACAGAGAUGAAGUGUGUCUGGAACCCACAACUAGUUGGAAGAGAUGCACGGAAGGAUUGGGGGGAGGCGGUGGAAAACACUGGGAAGACUUCCUUGAGAAGGUACCUAGCACUGUGUGCUGAAUGCUUUACAAUCAUUGCUUCCUUCACCCAGUAUCCUGAGAGGUGCAGAAAGUAACGGUUAAGGAAUGAUCAGUGACCAUUUCUUCCUCCACAAAGAAGGCAUGCCUGAGCUUAUCCUGACGGAACACGACAGGGCUAUUGGCUACGUGACAUUACCUUGCUGAGCUUGGGGAUCCUAACAUGGACACCAGCCCGUAAUCCUGUGCCAAGGUUCGAAGGGCAGGUCAGGAUGUAGCCUAGUCGCUCAUUCCACAUGAAUUCCCAGCCUCGCUCUUGGAUUAGGCGUUCUACCUACAACAAGGAACAAAUGGAACUCUUAAAUAUCCAUCUACUCACUACAUCCCAAACACCAGGAAGAGACUUGUGUACUGUAUGUUUGCCGUGAAUGAAAUUUAGGUAAAUUUGUAUUACUUCCUUAAUAGAAAAUGAUAUUACUAUUAUUAAAAUAGUACUAAAAUAUUAAUAGUAUUUAAAUACUAUUUAAAAUAUUAAAAUGGUCCAAUCCAAUUAAAUUAGAUGCCCAUGUAAAGCAUUGAAUACAGUAUCUAGCACAAACUAAAUAUUCAAUAAAUGUCAGUUGCUGUUAUUAUUUUUCAUGUGAGAAUAGGAGAAUAUAGGAUUUCUCAGCAGGUAAGGUUGUGGUCAGUUAUGAACAUAGUUACAUCCUAUACUGUCUCUAUGCUUAGAAUAGACAAGAACACUGUUAAAGAAAUUGGAAAAUAAUUAAAGAUCCACAGACUUUUCCCUAAAACAUGCUGGACUGGGGAGGGAAGCAUAGGAACUUACUAGUAACAAAAAAACAGUCACCUAUUUUUUGAAGCACUACCCGGUAGUCCUACCCCCAAGGAGUGCCAUGAUUCCUAGAAAAUAUUAGCCCCAUUUUGGAAUUCAUUAUAGUGUCUUCUUUCAAGAAUGAAAAUGUGAUUUUAUUUUAAUGAAUAUUCAGAAAUCUCUGAUAACAUCUUACUUCUUUUAGUCCACGACAGAAUCGCUCAAAUACUCUUUUCAUAUUGCCUCCUUUUUCCAUAGAGAUUACCCUGGUAUGGUCUUCUUCAUUAAUCCAGAUGAGAAAUGUCUUGUCAUAAUUAUGCCUAAUGAAGAGAGAAAUAUGGUGUUGCACAUUAACUACAUUUGUUUCAACACAUGAAAAUUCCCUUUACUUCUGUAGCUUGAUUGCUUCAUUUCACCUUCCUCAUUUCCUAGAAGGCCCUAAUUCUUCCACUGUGCCUGAACAAGUAGUACAAAAUGAUGUUACCUUGACAUAAAGAAUAAGACCAACUCUAACCCUUAAAGAUAUAUUUUUGCCCAACAAGAUUAUAAUGGAUGACAAUAAUUCAAAUAUGAAUAACGUUUGGUUUUGACACUAAUUCUCCUAAUAAGUUCAACCAAAAUCUUGUGCUGCUUAUUUUUUUUUUUUUUUAUCUACAACCCAAGAUGUUUGGGGUAUAGAACAUUUCACAUAUGUUUGCUGCAUAGAUUCUUACUGUCCCCACACACUGAGCAAGUGCUCAUGAACACUUCGCUCCUUUGGGUAGUAUCAUAACAACCUACCAAAGUACAGGAAUCAAAGUGGACUGAGGACUGUUGGCCAAGAUAAAAUACGUGUAUACUCGAUAUCCAUUCUUCCUUGUAGGGUUUUGCUUAAAUCCUCAAUAUAUUUCAUUUUCUGCUCUUUUGUUUUAAUGUCAUGAAACAGAUUCUCUGUGAGGUCAAAUAAUAGGAAGCUAAUUUUUCUUAAAAAUAGUCUUUUUCUCAUGCAUAAUUCAUAUAAACCAGCAUACAUUCUUACACAUGUUAGAAACAUUACAAUACUUUGGUAUUAUACAGACACAAUUUCCAAAUACUCUCUUCAUUUAGCUCAAGCCAGGCAUGCUGUCAACUGCAGGUUAGGACAAGCAGGUGAUCUGAAGGAAAUCCUCUGCACACAUUGCAAAUGUGAAAAUGCUAUGUCCAUACCAGAUUCCCCUGGCAUCUGGCCAGUCACGGGCCAUCCCAGCACAUGUUAAUAAAGGGGAUACUGGCUUAUCAAAUAGAAAGUGGUCCUGCAGGCCAAAAGGGACAAAGCAGAAAGGAGAAAUGGAUGAGAUCAGACACAAGGACAAGUGCUACGCGGCCAAAUUUCAACUUGGUUGAGGUCUGUCAGGCAGUGGUUCUCAGGCUUGGCUGCCCACUGGAAUAAUCUGGGUGCUUUGUAAAAAAUACUAAUACCCAGUUCCUGCCCUCCCCCAGAGACUGUCUUAAUUGUUAUGGGGUGCGGCCUGAACAGUGGGAUUUUUAAGAGCUCGUCAGAUGGUUCUAGUGUACAGCUAAGGCCGAAAACCGUUAGCUUAGCCCAGAUAAAAAUACUUAAUCACUAUAGAUUAUGUUUACCCACCAGCACCAAUGCUAUGCCCUGACAGAGUAGGCCGUGAGUGAGGGACACUAUCUUGAAAAGUCUGUUAUCCACAGCCACCAUUCUCUCUAUGUGUCUGGCAUUCCUGGUUCUUUUAUUAUCAUUCCUUCUACUACAAAGUAUUAGAGAUGUAAAAUAAUUUGUAAAUAAAAAUAGCUAUCAUUAAUUUAGUGGUCACUAUGUGCCAAGUCUGUGCUUGCAUAUUAAUUAAUAUGCUUUUAAUUUUCUUCAAUCCUCACAACACUAUGAGGCAAGUAUAAUCAUUUUAUGAGUGAGGAAAACUGAUUCAGAGUAAAAAAACAACCUACCUACUAUUAGGCAGCUAGGAAGUGACAGAGCCUAGAUUCAAACUUGACCUGUAGGACUUCCAAGUUUGUGCCUUUAACAACAGUACACUAAUCUUCAUAUCAAAAUCAGUGUCAAGAGACUGGCAUUUUUCUUAGUGUGUGUAUACAGUAACAACAUGAAUAUGGAUACCAUAUAUUCAAAUAUGAUUACAUUGAAGUAAGAAAUAAAGACAAUAUGGAGAGGGAAGUCCCUUUAUAAUCUGUGAGUGAAAGGGGUAGGAGACAUUAGAACAGGCUUGGUGACCUGAUGCUGGAAACCUCAAGUGGCUACCUGAGGCAGAGUUGGGCUUGUCUUAACAGAGCAAGCAGAGGGUUGGCCUGAUGGCUACAGAGGCCAAGAGACUGUGGUCUGUAGAGACAAGCACGCUAGUUCAUCUGGUUUGGCGGUGGGACUUAUUUUGUGGCAUUGCAUGUCCUGAAAUGGCAGAUACUGGUUUCUGCUUUUCCUUAGAGUUUAAUUAAAAGUUACUCUUGAAGGGCA